rnacentral:rRNA from 1 species
UACGUAGGGUGCAAGCGUUAAUCGGAAUUACUGGGCGUAAAGCGUGCGCAGGCGGUUAUGUAAGACAGGUGUGAAAUCCCCGGGCUUAACCUGGGAACUGCAUUUGUGACUGCAUAGCUAGAGUCCGGUAGGGGAUCACGGAAUUCCUGGUGUAGCGGUGAAAUGCGCAGAUAUCAGGAGGAACACCGAUGGCGAAGGCAGGUCUCUGGGCUGACACUGACGCUCAUGCACGAAAGCGUGGGGAGCAAACAGG